UUCAACAUCAAACCAAACAUAAAUAUUUAUCUAACAUCGUGUUAGCUAGUAUUACAAUGUGAUUUUUCAUGAUUCAAAGUGAAUCCAAGCAUAACAAUCAGUAAUUUUCAAGGUAUUUUACAUAGAGAUAAUGUGCCCUUUCUUCUGUAUUCAUUCAUUUUCUUAGCAGUUACUAUUGUACAUCCUGGAUGGAACAUUGAAAAAAAGGUGAACAUUACUCAUGCUGCAUCUAAAUCUUUCUGCUUUCACACAAACGGAAUAUGUCAUCAUACUCAAGGCCUCUCUAGCAUUAGUUGUUCAUUCAACUAUCAAAGUAAACAACAACCAUCUCCUAGAUCUUCCCUUUCUGAAUGGAAAGAGAAUAUGGUUUGUGAGAUGAUUCAGAAAGACUCUAGCAUUGCCUCAAUAAAUGCCAAUCGUUUUUUUAUAUCUUUUUCCUAUCAGAAGCACACUUAUGAUGAUACUACUAACAUAUAUUCUUUAUUAUUGAUUCAAAUCUAUUGGAAAUCAGAAAAUUUAGUUAAUCAAACUUUCUAUUUAGUUAGUCUCAGUACUCCGGAUUUUAUAAACACUAACCAAUAAUAUAAAAUGUGUCGCUAUCAAUUCUCUAUCCUCGUUUAUAAAACGAUUUCCGCAGAAGGAUCCCAUGUUCAUGAUGGAGGUAUAGUUGGAAUUUAUUGUUACCUUCUUGCAGUAAUUUUGUGUUGCAGUUAUUUAUUUGAUCCUGGGGCUCGGUUGUGGGGGCUUCAAUGAACAGUGCUUGGACUGUAGAUUCUGUUUCACCAACCUUCAAAAAUAUCAAUCUCCUCCAACUUCCUCACCAGCCAGGAUCAUCAGGAAACAAACAGGAAAUGAAGUGACUUUCACAAAAACAUGCCCUUGAACUUGAUCUCAAUCUAUCAUCACAGGGAACAAAAAAACACCCUGAUAAAAAAAGAAAAUCUCAAAUAAAUAUAAAAAACCAGGUUGAAGAGAAAAAAUAAAACAAAAUUCAACACAAUCACCUGACCUGACACCUGCUUUGCUCAUUUUAGGAGUGAAAAUCAGUAAACCACAGUGUUACACACUCCAUCCCUCUCAAAAAUGAAAAUAAAAGCUCUUCCAGAAAAAGAAAAGGUGCUGAGCUAGAACUGCAAAUCCAUGUUUUUAUCACCAAGUUCAUACUCCAUCCGAGUAUUAAAUUAUAUUUCAUUUUCUUUACAGAAACAGUAGGAUGAUCCCUUGAUUAUGGAUUGGGACAGGUAUCAUAACAAAAUGAGGAAUUAAAUAUAUAUCAUCAUAUCAGUAAUCCAUAUAUGGUAAAGAAGUAGAAAAACACAAAAUAGAAAAUGUAAGAGUUUGCAAUCUAGAAAUGAAAUAUCAGUAUUAUAUGCACAUACCUAAAUAUAGAGAGAGUUGAGGAGGAUUGAGAGUGAGUUUGUGAGUAGAGAGACAGAAACAGAGAGGUAAGGUAAGAGCUGAAAAUUGGAAUUGGAAUUGGAAUUAGAAGGGUUGAUGCAAAGCAAAGGAAACCAAAGUGUGAGAUUAGAUUAGAAAAUAGUAGAGAAAGAGAGAGAGAGA
rnacentral:lncRNA from 1 species